rnacentral:rRNA from 1 species
UACGGAGGGUGCAAGCGUUACUCGGAAUCACUGGGCGUAAAGGGCGCGUAGGCGGCCUAGCAAGUCUGGUGUGAAAGCCCAGGGCUCAACCCUGGAAGGGCACUGGAAACUGUUAGGCUUGAGUUCCGGAGAGGAGGGGGGAAUUCCCGGUGUAGCGGUGAAAUGCGUAGAUAUCGGGAGGAAUACCGGUGGCGAAGGCGCCCCUCGGGACGGAAAAUGACCUUGAGGCGCGAAAGCGUGGGGAGCAAACAGG